AGCCCUCAGCCACUCUACUAGGGGUUUUCAGGAUAAAAACCCAAGCAGGAAGAGCUUGGUGGAGGCAGCGAAAGCUAGACACAGUGAAGUAGAGAUAAAUACAUAAUUUUCAGUAAUAUUGGUCCAUCCCAUCCCCAUCCCGAUCAGUCUGCAGAGGCCAGAUCAAUAGUGUGCCACAAAGGAAGAGCAGAUGCCCUGCAGAAACGUGCCGAUAAAGCUGUCAUGGGGCAGUUAAACUAGUUUUCAUGCAGUUAAAUGAUCACAUGAAGAGAUCUUGCUGAAAUUUGCAUUUAAAAGGAGCAUAAAUUACCAUGGCUCACCCAUUUAUGGUCUUGGAGCACUCUAACGAUGGGCAGG